rnacentral:rRNA from 1 species
UACGGGGGGGGCAAGCGUUGUUCGGAAUUACUGGGCGUAAAGGGCUCGUAGGCGGCCAACUAAGUCGGAUGUGAAAUCCCCAGGCUCAACUUGGGAACUGCAUCCGAUACUGGAUGGCUUGAAUCCGGGAGAGGGAUGCAGAAUUCCAGGUGUAGCGGUGAAAUGCGUAGAUAUCUGGAGGAAUACCGGUGGCGAAGGCGGCAUCCUGGACCGGCAUUGACGCUGAGGAGCGAAAGCCAGGGGAGCAAACGGG